rnacentral:rRNA from 1 species
AGCGAACGCUGGCGGCGUGCUUAACACAUGCAAGUCGAGCGAUGAAGCUUCUUCGGAAGUGAAUUAGCGGCGGACGGGUGAGUAACACGUGGGUAACCUGCCUCAUAGAGGGGAAUAGCCUUCCGAAAGGAAGAUUAAUACCGCAUAAGAUUGUAAUAUCGCAUGAUAUUGCAAUUAAAGGAGCAAUCCGCUAUGAGAUGGACCCGCGUCGCAUUAGCUAGUUGGUGAGGUAACGGCUCACCAAGGCGACGGUGCGUAGCCGACCUGAGAGGGUGAUAGGCCACAUGGGAGCUGAGACACGGCCCAGACGCCUACGGGAGGCAGCAGUGGGGAAUAUUGCACAAUGGGGGAAACCCUGAUGCAGCAACGCCGCGUGAGUGAUGACGGUCUUCGGAUUGUAAAGCUCUGUCUUUAGGGACGAUAAUGACGGUACCUAAGGAGGAAGCCACGGCUAACUACGUGCCAGCAGCCGCCGUAAGAC